rnacentral:rRNA from 1 species
AGAGUUUGAUCCUGGCUCAGGAUAAACGCUGGCGGCGUGCCUAACACAUGCAAGUCGAACGCGUGCAGCAAUGCACGAGUGGCGGACGGGUGAGUAUCACGUGGGAAUCUACCCUUGGGUGAGGAAUACCGGCGAGAAAUCGCCGACAAAACCGCAUAAACUCGGAAACGAGCAAAGUCGUAAGACGCCUGAGGAUGAGC